rnacentral:rRNA from 1 species
AUUGAACGCUGGCAGCAGGCCUAACACAUGCAAGUCGAACGGUAACAGGAAGAAGCUUGCUUCUUUGCUGACGAGUGGCGGCCGGGUGAGUAAUGUCUGGGAAACUGCCUGAUGGAGGGGGAUAACUACUGGAAACGGUAGCUAAUACCGCAUAACGUCGCAAGACCAAAGAGGGGGACCUUCGGGCCUCUUGCCAUCGGAUGUGCCCAGAUGGGAUUAGCUAGUAGGUGGGGUAACGGCUCACCUAGGCGACGAUCCCUAGCUGGUCUGAGAGGAUGACCAGCCACACUGGAACUGAGACACGGUCCAGACUCCUACGGGAGGCAGCAGUGGGGAAUAUUGCACAAUGGGCGCAAGCCUGAUGCAGCCAUGCCGCGUGUAUGAAGAAGGCCUUCGGGUUGUAAAGUACUUUCAGCGGGGAGGAGGGGAGUAAAGUUAAUACCUUUGCUCAUUGACGUUACCCGCAGAAGAAGCACCGGCUAACUCCGUG